UACGUAGGUGGCGAGCGUUAUCCGGAAUUAUUGGGCGUAAAGAGCGCGCAGGUAGUUGAUUAAGUCUGAUGUGAAAGCCCACGGCUUAACCGUGGAGGGUCAUUGGAAACUGGUCGACUUGAGUGCAGAAGAGGGAAGUGGAAUUCCAUGUGUAGCGGUGAAAUGCGUAGAGAUAUGGAGGAACACCAGUGGCGAAGGCGGCUUCCUGGUCUGUAACUGACACUGAGGCGCGAAAGCGUGGGGAGCAAGCAGGAUUAGAUA
rnacentral:rRNA from 1 species